GGCGAUGGGAAAUUGAGCUGAGGACACAAGUGAGGACAGACCCGCAAGAAAUUUUGAAUAUGCAGAGAUUGGGCCAAAUCGACUGAAUGUGACGAGCUGUGCUGGAGCCGCGUACAGUUCAGUAAAGAACACAGGGACACAUGAUGAUGAUUCCAAAAUGGAUGGUGGUUUGGUGUACUCGAUCGUCACUAUCUCAAAGCCAGGAAACACUGCUCACUGUGAUGUUGCAUCAGGAGGGAAACACGCUGACCAAGCAGACCAGCAACCAUCCUGCAUCACAUAUGCCACCCUGAGGCACACAGAUAGGCAAGGGGAUGAGGAACCAGGUCAAGAUGAAGAGGGGAACGUUUACGCCAACCUUCCGCGGACAUUUUGAGACAGCACAGAAGAAUCCCUUUGAAGCUUCAAAAAUUGAUAGAUAGCAAUUGUCCCUUCCAGCAAAUAAGGGGGAGAAGGAAGAGAGGACAGAGGAGUGGCAAGUUUCUGCAGCUGACAAAUCGCUAAGCUUUGUUUCCAUUCACUCAGCCAGACAUCAGUUCCAAAGGUGAACUUGCCUUGAGAAACCAUCUGAAUAACCGUCUCUCAUAUAACUCUAAGCGGGCCAAUUUCUCCCGCUGUCACAUGAUCUGACCCUUGAUGGCAGGGAUUUGAGAUUUUUGCGCUGUGCAUUCCUAACUUGAGUAUCCAUUUGAUCUCCUGGUCAGUGGGUGAGGGCAGAUGAGCCAAUGAAUUGAAUCUACUCCUCAUUUAUUUUUUAAUUGUGAUGAGCUAGAAAUAAUUCAAGGCGGGAUUGUUCUCCAGCCCUAUCUACAUUGCUCUCUAACUU